rnacentral:rRNA from 1 species
CCUACGGGUGGCAGCAGUGAGGAAUAUUGGUCAAUGGCCGGAAGGCUGAACCAGCCAAGUCGCGUGAAGGAAGAAGGACCUAUGGGUUGUAAACUUCUUUUAUAGGGGAGUAAAGGUAUCGACGCGUGGAUAUUUGCAUGUACCCGGUGAAUAAGCAUCGGCUAACUCCGUGCCAGCAGCCGCGGUAAUACGGAGGAUGCGAGCGUUAUCCGGAUUUAUUGGGUUUAAAGGGUGCGUAGGUUGUUUUUUAAGUCAGCGGUGAAAGUUUGUGGCUCAACCAUAUAAUUGCCGUUGAAACUGGGUGUCUUGAGGGUGUGUGAGGUAGGCGGAAUGCGUGGUGUAGCGGUGAAAUGCAUAGAUAUCACGCAGAACUCCGAUUGCGAAGGCAGCUUACUGGGCCCUAACUGACACUGAUGCACGAAAGCGUGGGGAUCGAACAGGAUUAGAUACCCGAGUAGUC